rnacentral:rRNA from 1 species
GACGAACGCUGGCGGCGUGCUUAACACAUGCAAGUCGAACGGAAAGGCCCCUUUGGGGGUACUCGAGUGGCGAACGGGUGAGUAACACGUGAGUAACCUGCCCUUGACUUCGGGAUAACUUCAGGAAACUGGGGCUAAUACCGGAUAGGAAUCCUUGCUGCAUGGUGGGGGUUGGAAAGCUUCGGCGGUUUUGGAUGGACUCGCGGCUUAUCAGCUUGUUGGUGGGGUAGUGGCUUACCAAGGCUUUGACGGGUAGCCGGCCUGAGAGGGCGACCGGCCACAUUGGGACGGAGAUGGGGCCCAGAGUCCAACGGGGGGCAACGGGGGGGAAUGUUGCAAAAGGGGGGGAAGCCUGGUGCAGCAACGCCGGGGGCGGGAUGACGGCCUUGGGGUUGUAAACCGCUUUCAGGAGGGGGGAAGCUUGGGGGGAGGGUACCGGAGGAAGAAGCACCGGCAAAGUACGG